AUGCCCAGAGGGUUCCCCAGCCCUGGCUCUGGCUUUGGGCACUCCCUGGCUGCUUUUCCUGCUGGAUUUUCAGGUGCAGGUGUGAGCUGGGAGCAGCAGGAGCUGGCCAGGCUGCCCAGGGCAGGAUCCCCACCCCGAGGGGGGUUCCCUGGCCCUUCCCACGCCGCCCUGGCCCUGAGCUGCGAGCAGAGAGCCCUGAAGGAGAAGCAGGAGCAGGAGCAGACCCCUGGCUGGGAUUUCGGGAGCAGCAGGAGCGAGCUGGCCAUCAGGAUAGCCCGGCUGCUUUCUCCUCUGCACUGUUGCCAGCCCCAAGCAAAGCUCUUUAUCUCUGAACCUGUGUUAUCUGCGGGGCCCAGAGCUGAGCAGCUCCUGCCCACCUGGGGCUCCUCCAGCGGCUCGGAGGCUCGCCCGGGCCCCAUCUCACCCUCCCGGGGAUGCUCAGCGAUCAAACCCCAGCCCCAGGGGGGGAGCAGAGCUGGGAUUCCUUCCCUUCAAAGGCUGGGGUGGAUCUGCGGCAGCAGAUGGUGUGAACUGCCUGAAAGUCGGCCUGAAUUGCCAAUUAAGUGUAAUUAAAACCGAGCUCAUUUAUUUGUUUGGCUGCCAAGGGGCGUCGCUUCCCUUUGAACCAGGGGCUGGGCCCUGCUGCUUCCCUGCUCCCGGGGGCUGGCAGGGGGUUACAGGAGGUGCUGGGAUUUCAGAUCCAUCCUGGAAAUGUUCUGGGGGUUUUUCCAGCCAGAAUGGAGGGGUUUACAGUGCUGGGAUUUCAGAUCCAUCCUGGAAUGGUUCUGGGGCUUCUUCCAGCCAGAGUGGAGGGGGUUACAGUGCUGGGAUUUCAGAUCCAUCCUGGAAUGGUUCUGGGGCUU
rnacentral:lncRNA from 1 species